GAUGAACGCUGGCGGCGUGCUUAACACAUGCAAGUCGAACGGAGUUAAGUUAAAAGCUUGCUUUUAACUUAACUUAGUGGCGGACGGGUGAGUAACGCGUGGGUAACCUGCCUCAUACAGGGGGAUAACAGCUGGAAACGGCUGCUAACACCGCAUAACAUAGCGAAACCGCAUGAUUUUGCUAUCAAAUAUUUAUAGGUAUGAGAUGGGCCCGCGUCUGAUUAGCUAGUUGGUGGGGUAAUGGCCUACCAAGGCGACGAUCAGUAGCCGGCUUGAGAGAGUGACCGGCCACAUUGGGACUGAGACACGGCCCAAACUCCUACGGGAGGCAGCAGUGGGGAAUAUUGCACAAUGGGCGAAAGCCUGAUGCAGCGACGCCGCGUGAGUGAAGAAGUAUUUCGGUAUGUAAAGCUCUAUCAGCAGGGAAGAUAAUGACAGUACCUGACUAAGAAGCCCCGGCUAACUACGUGCCAGCCGCCGCCGUAACAC
rnacentral:rRNA from 1 species